UACGUACAAGCAGUGGGAGCCUCUUUUAUGGGUUGACUGCGUACCUUUUGUAUAAUGGGUCAGCGACUUAUAUUCUGUAGCAAGGUUAACCGUAUAGGGGAGCCGCAGGGAAACCGAGUCUUAACUGGGCGUUAAGUUGCAGGGUAUAGACCCGAAACCCGGUGAUCUAGCCAUGGGCAGGUUGAAGGUUGGGUAACACUAACUGGAGGACCGAACCGACUAAUGUUGAAAAAUUAGCGGAUGACCUGUGGCUGGGGGUGAAAGGCCAAUCAAACCGGGAGAUAGCUGGUUCUCCCCGAAAGCUAUUUAGGUAGCGCCUCGUGAAUUCAUCUCCGGGGGUAGAGCACUGUUUCGGCUAGGGGGCCAUCCCGGCUUACCAACCCGAUGCAAACUGCGAAUACCGGAGAAUGUUAUCACGGGAGACACACGGCGGGUGCUAACGUCCGUCGUGAAGAGGGAAACAACCCAGACCGCCAGCUAAGGUCCCAAAGUCAUGGUUAAGUGGGAAACGAUGUGGGAAGGCACAGACAGCCAGGAUGUUGGCUUAGAAGCAGCCAUCAUUUAAAGAAAGCGUAAUAGCUCACUGGUCGAGUCGGCCUGCGCGGAAGAUGUAACGGGGCUAAACCAUGCACCGAAGCUGCGGCAGCGACACUAUGUGUUGUUGGGUAGGGGAGCGUUCUGUAAGCCGUCGAAGGUGGACUGUGAGGUCUGCUGGAGGUAUCAGAAGUGCGAAUGCUGACAUAAGUAACGAUAAAGCGGGUGAAAAGCCCGCUCGCCGGAAGACCAAGGGUUCCUGUCCAACGUUAAUCGGGGCAGGGUGAGUCGACCCCUAAGGCGAGGCCGAAAGGCGUAGUCGAUGGGAAACAGGUUAAUAUUCCUGUACUCGGUGUUACUGCGAAGGGGGGACGGAGAAGGCUAUGUCGGCCGGGCGACGGUUGUCCCGGUUUAAGCGUG
rnacentral:rRNA from 2 species